GCAAGUCGAACGAGCGAGAGAGAGCUUGCUUUCUCGAGCGAGUGGCGAACGGGUGAGUAACGCGUGAGGAACCUGCCUCAAAGAGGGGGACAACAGUUGGAAACGACUGCUAAUACCGCAUAAGCCCACGGGUCGGCAUCGACCAGAGGGAAAAGGAGUGAUCCGCUUUGAGAUGGCCUCGCGUCCGAUUAGCUAGUUGGUGAGGUAACGGCCCACCAAGGCGACGAUCGGUAGCCGGACUGAGAGGUUGAACGGCCACAUUGGGACUGAGACACGGCCCAGACUCCUACGGGAGGCAGCAGUGGGGAAUAUUGCACAAUGGGGGAAACCCUGAUGCAGCGACGCCGCGUGGAGGAAGAAGGUCUUCGGAUUGUAAACUCCUGUUGUUGGGGAAGAUAAUGACGGUACCUAACAAGAAAGCACCGGCUAACUACGUGCCAGCAGCCGCGGUAAAACGUAGGGUGCAAGCGUUGUCCGGAAUUACUGGGUGUAAAGGGAGCGCAGGCGGGAAGACAAGUUGGAAGUGAAAACCAUGGGCUCAACCCAUGAAUUGCUUUCAAAACUGUUUUUCUUGAGUAGUGCAGAGGUAGAUGGAAUUCCCGGUGUAGCGGUGGAAUGCGUAGAUAUCGGGAGGAACACCAGUGGCGAAGGCGGUCUACUGGGCACCAACUGACGCUGAGGCUCGAAAGCAUGGGUAGCAAACAGGAUUAGAUACCCUGGUAGUCCAUGCCGUAAACGAUGAUUACUAGGUGUUGGGGGAUUGACCCCCUCAGUGCCGCAGUUAACACAAUAAGUAAUCCACCUGGGGAGUACGACCGCAAGGUUGAAACUCAAAGGAAUUGACGGGGGCCCGCACAAGCAGUGGAGUAUGUGGUUUAAUU
rnacentral:rRNA from 1 species